ACGGGUGCGGAACACGUACGCAACCUUCCUUCAAGCGGGGCAUAGCUUUCGGAAACGAAAAUUAAUACCCCAUAGCAAUGUCUGAUGGCAUCUGAGGACAUUUAAAGAUUUAUCACUUGAAGAUGGGCGUGCGCCUGAUUAGGUAGUUGGCGGGGUAAUGGCCCACCAAGCCUACGAUCAGUAACUGGUGUGAGAGCACGACCAGUCACACGGGCACUGAGACACGGGCCCGACUCCUACGGGAGGCAGCAGUAAGGAAUAUUGGUCAAUGGACGCAAGUCUGAACCAGCCAUGCCGCGUGGAGGAUGAAGGUCCUCUGGAUUGUAAACUUCUUUUAUCGGCGAAGAAACCCACGAAUUCAUUUGUGGUUGACGGUACCCGAUGAAUAAGCACCGGCUAACUCCGUGCCAGCAGCCGCGGUAAUACGGAGGGUGCAAGCGUUAUCCGGAUUCACUGGGUUUAAAGGGAGCGUAUGUGGGCUGGUAAGUCAGUGGUGAAAUCUCCCGGGCUUAACUCGGAAACUGCCGUUGAUACUAUCAGUCUUGAAUGUUGUGGAGGUAAGCGGAAUAUGUCA
rnacentral:rRNA from 1 species